AGUUGUAAGUGCAGCAGUCCCGGGCGCCAUCUUGGGAUUGCCGUUGCACCCGCUCCCCACAAUUUAUAACCCAGGGCAGCAUUUGUGGUUUAAAGUUAGAACAUGGCAUUGGUUUCUCAAUAAUUUUUACCUAAAUUUAUCUAAGUUCACCAAUGAGCUGAUGUAGAAAGUAGAAAAUUAACAGAGUCACAAACUCUAACCCAGAAGACGUGAGGGUUAAGUGGCAGAGAUGUUGAGUUACCCAUCCUAACCUCUGUUAAUUGUAAAAGGUUUAAUCAUUCUGGUUCAGUUAAUAUCUCUAAAUAAAUUAUAAGUUAACAAAUGUUUGUCAGGGCAAACCUUGAUCCAGGCUUCUCUCCAUGUGAGGCAAACAGAGGCCAGUAGCCAAGGACACUGUAUGCUCUCCAGUUGAAAUCAGAGCCAGCUCCCGGGAGACCAGAGAAGCCUAAACAAACAUCUGGGCCCUUUCAGCAGCUUACUGUAUCCAGCUUUUAGAACAGUCCUCUCCGGAUCUCUUUAUAGAAACAAAAUACACAGCGUGCUUCCUCACAGAAGACACGUAAGAGGCAGAAAUCUCAGGUUGCCGCUCCUGUUUGAUUUUGAUAAGUAACGAUGAUUUCUUUCAUUGACCUCUACAGUCUUGCAUUAGCGUGAUCUCAUUUCUCCCGUGUAUGGUUCCCCCAUUCUAUAUUUUGGACUUCUGCUGCAUUUAUAAAGGCAUUUGCUUUGUACGGAUUCGUGGCAAAUCCGAAUAGGCAAACCCACCCGCUACAGGAGUAGCUGGUGUCCUUACGUAGCCGACAACUAGAGGGGACGAAUGGAUGCGCUGCGGCAGCCCCACAGUGAAAGGAAAGCAGGGACAGAAGCAGUUUGUUCUGCGCAGUGCCCCUGUGAAAACUGAACGCUGGCAGCAACGGGUGGAAUGUAGCCUCCCAGUCCACCCUCAGACAAACGAUCUUAAACUCUCCAUCAGAACGGCUCAGCAGCCCAAGUUCGCACCUGCUUAGGUUUUCCAGAAGGAAGAUGCUCUUAGCGGUGUUACUGAAACAUGCAUCAGUCCUCAAGUUCAGCCAAGACUCUGCUUGUUUAAUGGCCACUUAGGUCAUUUAAAGUGGAGCAGGAUCAUCUCAACUUUGUAAGGAAGCUCACUGCUGCUGCUGACUAAAGCCGGUGCAUGCUGCCCUUCAUCCUGCAACAUGAUUGAUGUGGGACGUCCUGGUGACAGUGACUUCUUCACCAUCAUAGCUAAGUAAAGGGACAUCUUCUCACCACAGAACACACCAACAUCUGCCACCGUUCUGGAAAUCUUAGAUGGUUUUCUUUAAAAUAAGCUAGACUAUCCUUAAACUAAAACCUUACUAUCUCAAAGUGCUUUUUUUUUUCCAGUUCCUUAAAGAAAAAGAGUCUGCUCCAAAUUUUUAAAAAGUGUUCACUAAGACGGGUCUGCAGUAAUAGCCAAAUAGAACAAGCGAAAAGUAACUACUUGUGUAGCGGGAAUGUUUAACAGAGCAUGAACUAAUGCAGUUGACCACAAAGUAAAUCUAAAUACAAACACUGGGAAAACUCUCCGAGUCUUAAAUCAUUUUGUAAAGUUACAGAGAUAUCCACAUUACACAAAACCACUGUUAAAUUAAAAAGAGGAAAGAAAAAAUAAAUUUCACAGAAUCGGACAAA